UACAGAGGGUGCAAGCGUUAAUCGGAAUUACUGGGCGUAAAGCGUGCGCAGUCGGUUAUCUAAGUCGGAUGUGAAAUCCCCGGGCUCAACCUGGGAAUUGCAUUCGAAACUGAAUAGCUAGAGUUCGGCAGAGGGAAGUGGAAUUUCUGGUGUAGCGGUGAAAUGCGUAGAUAUCAGAAGGAACAUCAGUGGCGAAAGCGACUUCCUGGACCAGAACUGACGAUCAGGCACGAAAGCGUGGGGAGCAAACAGG
rnacentral:rRNA from 1 species